GAUGAACGCUGGCGGCGUGCUUAACACAUGCAAGUCGAACGGUGAACACGGAGCUUGCUCUGUGGGAUCAGUGGCGAACGGGUGGGUAACACGUGAGCAACCUGCCCCUGACUCUGGGAUAAGCGCUGGAAACGGCGUCUAAUACUGGAUACGAGUAGCGGCCGCAUGGUCAGUUUCUGGAAAGAUUUUUUGGUUGGGGAUGGGCUCGCGGCCUAUCAGCUUGUUGGUGAGGUAAUGGCUCACCAAGGCGUCGACGGGUAGCCGGCCUGAGAGGGUGACCGGCCACACUGGGACUGAGACACGGCCCAGACUCCUACGGGAGGCAGCAGUGGGGAAUAUUGCACAAUGGGCGAAAGCCUGAUGCAGCAACGCCGCGUGAGGGAUGACGGCCUUCGGGUUGUAAACCUCUUUUAGCAGGGAAGAAGCGAAAGUGACGGUACCUGCAGAAAAAGCGCCGGCUAACUACGUGCCAGCAGCCGCCGUGA
rnacentral:rRNA from 1 species